rnacentral:rRNA from 1 species
AUUGAACGCUGGCGGCAGGCCUAACACAUGCAAGUCGAACGAGUGGCGGACGGGUGAGUAAUGUUUGGGAAACUGCCUGAUGGAGGGGGAUAACUACUGGAAACGGUAGCUAAUACCGCAUACCAUCAGAUGUGCCCAGAUGGGAUUGGCUAGUUGGUGGGGUAACGGCUCACCAAGACGACGAUCCCUAGCUGGUCUGAGAGGAUGACCAGCCACACUGGGAAUGAGACAGGGUCCAGACUCCUACGGGAGGCAGCAGUGGGGAAUAUGGCGCAAUGGGCGCAAGCCUGAUGCAGCCAUGCCGCGUGAAUGAAGAAGGCCUUCGGGUUGUAAAGUUCUUUCGGCAGGGAGGCGUUACCCGCAGAAGAAGCACCGGCUAACUCCGUGCCAGCAGCCGCGGUAAUAC